rnacentral:rRNA from 1 species
AAGUAGGAGCCCGCAAGGGUGACUGCGUACCUUUUGUAUAAUGGGUCAGCGACUUACAUUCAGUGGCAAGCUUAACCGAAUAGGGAAGGCGUAGAGAAAUCGAGUCCGAAUAGGGCGAAUUAGUCGCUGGGUGUAGACCCGAAACCAAGUGAUCUAUCCAUGGCCAGGAUGAAGGUGCCGUAACAGGUACUGGAGGUCCGAACCCACUAAUGUUGCAAAAUUAGGGGAUGAGCUGUGGAUAGGGGUGAAAGGCUAAACAAACUUGGAAAUAGCUGGUUCUCUCCGAAAACUAUUUAGGUAGUGCCUCAAGUAUUACCGUCGGGGGUAGAGCACUGUUUAGGCUAGGGGGUCAUGGCGACUUACCAAACCUAUGCAAACUCCGAAUACCGACGAGUACAGCUUGGGAGACAGAGCACCGGGUGCUAACGUCCGGACUCAAGAGGGAAACAACCCAGACCGCCAGCUAAGGUCCCUAAAACGGGCUAAGUGGGAAACGAAGUGGGAAGGCUAAAACAGUCAGGAUGUUGGCUUAGAAGCAGCCAUCAUUUAAAGAAAGCGUAAUAGCUCACUGAUCGAGUCGUCCUGCGCGGAAAAUGUAACGGGGCUAAGCCAGUUACCGAAGCUGCGGAUUUGCAAUUUAUUGCAAGUGGUAGGAGAGCGUUCUGUAAGCCUGUGAAGGUGUCUGGAGACGGAUGCUGGAGGUAUCAGAAGUGCGAAUGCUGACAUGAGUAGCGUUAAAGGGGGUGAAAAGCCCCCUCGCCGUAAGCGCAAGGUUUUCUACGCAACGUUCAUCGGCGUAGAGUAAGUCGGCCCCUAAGGCGAGGCAGAGAUGCGUAGCUGAUGGGAAACAGGUCAAUAUUCCUGUACCGAUCAAUAGUGCGAUGUGGGGACGGAGAAGGUUAGCUCAGCCAACUGUUGGAUAUGUUGGUUCAAGCCUGUAGUCAUGCCCGGUAGGCAAAUCCGCCGGGCUAAGAUGAGGGGUGAUAACGGGUCUGCUUGCAGACGAAGUGAGUGAUACCCAGCUUCCAGGAAAAGUCACUAAGCUUCAGCUAUUGACGACCGUACCGCAAACCGACACUGGUGCGCGAGAUGAGUAUUCUAAGGCGCUUGAGAGAACUCAGGAGAAGGAACUCGGCAAAUUAACACCGUAACUUCGGGAGAAGGUGUGCCCCUAGUAAGUGAACUUGAACAAAGGGAGCUGAAAGGGGCUGCAAAGAAUAGGUGGCUGCGACUGUUUAAUAAAAACACAGCACUCUGCAAACACGAAAGUGGACGUAUAGGGUGUGACGCCUGCCCGGUGCUGGAAGAUUAAAUGAUGGGGUGCAAGCUCUUGAUUGAAGUCCCAGUAAACGGCGGCCGUAACAAUAACGGUCCUAAGGUAGCGAAAUUCCUUGUCGGGUAAGUUCCGACCUGCACGAAUGGCGUAACGAUGGCCACACUGUCUCCUCCUGAGACUCAGCGAAGUUGAAAUGUUUGUGAUGAUGCAAUCUCCCCGCGGAAAGACGGAAAGACCCCAUGAACCUUUACUGUAGCUUUGUAUUGGACUUUGAACG